rnacentral:lncRNA from 1 species
GGGGACAAAGUAUCUGCGAAACAGAUUUAAAAUUUGAUCCCAUCCUCAAACCUGUCUCGGAGGACUCUCUCCUCCAUCAUUAAAAAAAAAAAAUUCUCCAUCUUAAUAUCCUUAAUUAAACGGAACAAUCCUAACAGAAAUCCCCAUUUACAAAUUUUAUACAUUGUCAAAUGUCAUCCUAUAAUAAUGUGAUACAAUAAUCCUAAGACUAUUGUUAACUAUAGAAAAAUUUACAGCUUUAUAAAUAAUAAAAUACAAAAAAACAUCUCUACAUACCAAUAAGAACAUUGUCAAAUGCCUAUCUUAUGACUUAUGACUUCAAUGUUUCUACAUUUUGCACCUUCUUAUAUCCUCCAACCAUGCUUUGUUUUGCAUAUAUAUCUAUAUAAAAAAGAUGAAAAGACACAAAUCAUAUAUCCUUCACUUCUAUUUCUUGUCACAUUCCAACAUUCUUGUAUCCUAUGAACCUUCGAAAAGUGUUAUAGACGACUUUUGGUGAACAAAAACUCUAUACUAAUCAGAAGAAAUGUUCCCCGGCUUACGAGCCAAUAUAAUAUGCACUCAUAGCAUCUCCGAAAAGUGUUAUAGACUCUUCGUGAACAAAAACUCUAUAAC